CUUAUGUAUAUCACAAAUUGGUAUUUAGUAACAUAAAUGCCAGAUUAUGUAUUUAUAUAUCUAUAUUACUAUUUCAUGAAAUAUCAAAAUACGUAUACCAUUUUUGGAAAGUGUGAAAUAAUUAUGUGAUUUAUAUUUAGAAUGUAUGAUUAUACUUAGCAUUAAUAAAAGACACUUUUUUUAUUCUUUUUUUUCGAAAAAAUAAUGUCAUAAUUUUAUUUAAACACACACAAAUGUUAAUAUUUAUUUGGUGAACUUCAUAAUUUAAAAAGUUUACAAUUGUUUUGUUGAAGUAAAUAAUAAUUUUUCAAAAUUCAAAGCAAAAAAAGAAAAAAAAAUUAAGCAAAUAAAAAAAAAAUAAAAUUGAAGAAUUAAAAAGAAAAAAAAGACCUACAGAUUAUUCUUUAACGCCGUGGAAAGAUCAAUAGAUGCCUUGCACUAAAAUAUUUUUACUCCAUGAAAAUGAAAAAAGUACAAAAAUGGAAAUAAAAUUAUAAAAUCAAUUACAUUGCAUAACACUUAUAUGUGUACGAUUUUUUUAAAUCAUAAAGCCACUUCAAAAUUUCUAUAAUGGAAAGCGGCGUAAAACAAAAUAUAUUCAACUUAAAUUAUACUCAAGGAUAUUUUGAACAAUUUAACUAAAUUGCCUUUUUAAUUGGAAAGGAAUAAAAUUUCACACACUACUUAUUUACAUACAUAUAUGCUUAGAUAUUUUUACAAAUGUACAAACACACAUUUGAAAAGGACACAAAAAUUUAUAUAAAUUAGACGUCAACACUAUCAUGUUGCUCAUAAAAACAUCAUAGAUUUAAUGCUUCCAGUGAGAGAAAAAAAAUUAAAACAAGAUAAAAAAAUUGAAGCGAAAAGUUUUUUAUGGAAAAGUUUUAAAGCUUUGUUUUAAAAUUAAAUUAUUUAAUGAUAUUGUUAAAUGUAAUUACUUUAUUCAAACGAUAAAAUAAAUCACAUAAUAUGCAAGUAGCAGAAGUCUUCUGCAUUUAGCAGAAAACUGUUAAAAAAGAAAAAUGUUAUAAUUGCAGAAUACUAGUAUAAUGAAAAAAUCAUAAUAAUGAAACAAAAGUUAAAGUAUUUUGAAUGUAACCUGGUGAACCACCACAAUUCCAAUUUUUUAACAAAAACUGUAAAAAAAAUUAAAAAAUAUUUUAAAACUAUGUAAUUAAAACAAUUUGAUAAUUUGAAAAUGCGAAGAAAAUGUUAUGUUAGAAUAAAAAAAUAUAUAAUAUGUUAUAUAAAUAUACGUAUAUAGAAUAUUUAUAUAUAUAAUGUUUAUGUAUAAUAAAGUUUCAAAUAUUCGAAUAUAAAGAGUUUAAAAUAUUAUCACAUAAUAAAAUAGCAACAUUAGCGAACGACUUAUCAGGAUAUUCAGUAUUUUCUUCUAAAAUAAAGUAAUAAAUCGGAAUAAUGCCACUACUAUAAUUGCAUUGGUUAAAAAUUUGCAUAGUACACAUAUUAUCGGUAGACAUCGAAGGUGUUUCAAUUAAGAAUACGAUUAAAAAAUUUGAUUGUUACUCAUAAAUUUUUUAAUUUUUAUAUCCCAAUACAAAUACAAUGUUAACGAGUUACUUUUUUUGAGUAUAUAUCUGCUCAUAAAAUAAUACAUUUAAAAUGAAUUAAAAAUAAAUAAAAACACUUGCCAUAUAUUUAAAGACUCUUUAAGAAAAAAUCAAAGCAAAUGGCUAGCUGUGAUAAAAAUAGUAAAAUACUUAAUUUUAGUAAAUAUUAUGAAAAAACAAGAAUAUUAUUGAAAUACUAUAUAAAAUAUGCAGGAAUUUCCAACUGUUGACACAAAGUUUCCAAAAUUUAUUUUAUUUCAAGUAACAUUGAGUACAAUUUAUUAAAAAAUUAUCUAUGCUUAAAGAUUAUUAUUUCUGCUUUUUUAGUAAAUAUGAUAACUACAAUAUUAUCAUUAAGUCUUAUAAUUACGACUAUUAUUAUACAUUUUUAUUCUUACUAAAUUAUUGCAAUUUAUUGAAAUUAGUAAAAUAUAAAACAUGAAAUCAGAAAAAUAAAGAAAUUAUUAAAAUAUCAUUGUAAAAAGUUUUUUAGUUUUAUUUAACGAAUUUUACCAUUACAUAUACGAGAUAUAUAAAUGUUAGGUGUAUAUUUAGUUAAACAAAUAUGUUGUAGAAUCAGUAAUGGUAUUUUAAAAAGGAGAUUGGUUGUAUAAAAUAAUUCAAAAUGACUAUGUGGCAAAGUGGCGGUAUGGGAGGCCACGGAUCCCAGAACAAUCCAUGGAUGAAGUUAAUGGGAAUAGUUUCCCAUAAGGAAAGAAGGCAUGACAACGUUCAAAGUCAAAGUGGGUCAAACGACAGAAAUCUAAAUCAGUAAGUAUUAAAUAUAAUCUGAUAAAUUUACUCUCUAAUAUACAAAUGCCCACUACCAUUUAUUAAAGGAAGGCAAAUAAAACAUUAAAAUCAAUCACAAGCCAUUACGGUUUUGUAAAAUAUUUAUUCGUAACAUUUUUCUGUUAAUAAUAUUUUUUAAUUUUAACGCAACAUUAUAGUGACUGUAAUUAGAAAUCUUUUCUCAACUAUUUUAAAAGAGCAAAUAAAAGAUUAAACUGCUUACAGAAACUUUUUCGACAAAAGAGUGGCUUCUAUACCACGAAAGGAGUGGACGACCACGAAAAUAGCUAUAGACAAAAAUAGGAUCUUUUAUUUCGACAGACUAAUAUAGUUCAAAAAACCACUUAGUGAUUUCCCCCAUUUUACAUAUAAAUACAAGAAAAGUUUCUUGAAAUUCGCAAAAUUCAUUCAUUUACUCGUAAAAGCUAUUUUGUAAUGAAAAAAAAUCCCAUUAACAGACAGACUGACAGGUUGCUAAAAAUAGUUUACUUACCGAAAACUCGAUAUGCAAAAUUUCUUGCCAUCACAUAACCUACUUAUUGUAUACACAAUACGGUCGGUAAAAAGAAGCAAGACAAAUUGUUUUGUUAUUUUGUUAUGUUCGUUUGUUCUUUUAUUAUUUUGUCAAAAUAAAUUUAAACUUUUGACACUAUGACUUGAAUUUUUAAAAGUUAUUAGAUCUCAAUCCAACCCAAAACUUUAACUUAGCAAGUCGUUACUCUACAAUCAUUAAUUUUACAAACUAUACAAUAUCUUAAUUAAAAUAUUUGGAUCGACCACUUUAUUAGUGCUUGAGCCGUUUAAAAACCGAAAAGUUCUGAAUAGUUAAUACUUCUUUAGCCUCAUUUCAAAUGAUUGUAACAAAAUAGAUUUCGUUUGGCUCGACUUGGCAGAUUUAAUGGAUAUAAUGGAUGAAAUAUGAUGGAAAGCUUAAACUUUGAUUGCGUAAAACUUGUUUGCAUAACAUGAUUAUGUAUCUAAUAAAAAAAACAACACCCAUUGUACUUUUGCAAAAUUCAAAAGUAAAGCGUUUUAAAAAAUACUUUAUUAAAAUUAGUUAUGUAUAAGAUAAAACACCUAGGAAAGAGCCAGCCUCUUUAAGCAAAGUUUCAUUUUAAUUGAAUAUUUAAAAAAUAUUUUUUAACUUAGCAUUGUAAAAGUAAUUUACAAAUAACCUUUGCGUAUUCCAAAUUAAUUUAAGUUUUUGAAAAGAAGAUAUUUCAAAAAAGGAAUACAUAAAAAUAAAAAAAAUUAAAAAACCACACAAUUUGUACAUUUGAAGUCUUUAUGACUUUUGUUUUUUUUAAAACUUUUUCAGUUUUAAUUUUCAUACGGUUUUCAUUUUAUUUUUGAGUGCUAAUUUGUUGUCCGAAUCAUAUGUUGCUUUUUGAGCCGAUUUUGCAAAGUUGACAUUGGUACCGAAACUUCUUAGCAAUAAUGUGAAUUCAAGAACAACUUUUGACUUCAUCAAGUGAUAGUUGUAAAUAUUCUUUGUCGUUUGUACGCAAUUUUAUCAUUUUUAGUUAUCGUACUAUUAACAUUUCAACACUGAAAAGAAUCAGCUAAAUUUACUAUUACAGUAAAUUAAGUAAUUUUGAUUAAUAUAGUAACGGAAAUUACUGUAACUGUAAUGUUCGAAAUAUAGGACACGAAAUCUAUUCAAAAAAUUAAAAUAAAUAAUAUAUUGGUCAAAAAUAAAAUAGCCCAAUAAUUGGGCCUGU